CCCUUAGAUGUUCUGGGCUGCACACGCGCUACACUGAAGGAGGCAGCGUGUACUCCUGGAUCGAAAGAUUUGGGUAACCCGCGAAUCUCCUUCGUGCUAGGGAUUGAGGUUUGCAAUUAUCCUUCAUGAACGAGGAAUUCCCAGUAAGUGCAAGUCAUAAGCUUGCGCUGACUACGUCCCUGCCCUUUGUACACACCGCCCGUCGCUACUACUGAUUGAAUGAUUUAGUGAGGACUUCGGACUGGGACCGAUGCGGCUUUCGGGCUGCGUCGGUAUUCUGGAAAGAUGUCCAAACUGUAUCAUUUAGAGGAAGUAAAAGUCGUAACA
rnacentral:rRNA from 1 species